rnacentral:tRNA from 1 species
UCCGAGGUAGCUCAACCGGUAGAGUAACCAGUGUCACCUGGUUGGAUGCAGGUUCGAAGCCUGCCCUCGAAGCCA